rnacentral:rRNA from 1 species
GUAGUUAGCCGGGGCUUCCUCCUUGGCUACCGUCACUUUCUUCGUCACCAAGGACAGAGGUUUACAAUCCGAAGACCUUCUUCCCUCACGCGGCGUUGCUGGGUCAGGCUUGCGCCCAUUGCCCAAUAUUCCCCACUGCUGCCUCCCGUAGGAGUCUGGACCGUGUCUCAGUUCCAGUGUGGCCGAUCAGCCUCUCAGCUCGGCUACCCAUCGUUGGCUAGGUGGGCCGUUACCCCGCCUACUACCUAAUGGGACGCGAACCCCUCCUUCUGCGGAUUGCUCCUUUGACCCCUGAGCCAUGCGACUCUGUGGUCUUAUGCGGUAUUAGCACUUGUUUCCAGGUGUUAUCCCCCUCAAAAGGGCAGGUUGUUCACGCGUUACUCACCCGUUCGCCACUAGCUAUAAAUCCGAAAACCUAUAGCCCGUUCGACUUGCAUGUGUUAGGCACGCCGCCAGCGUUCGUCCUCGAGCCACGAAUACAAACUACUGA